UACGAAGGGGGGCUAGCGUUGCUCGGAAUCACUGGGCGUAAAGGGUGCGUAGGCGGGUCUUUAAGUCAGGGGUGAAAUCCUGGAGCUCAACUCCAGAACUGCCUUUGAUACUGAGGAUCUUGAGUUCGGGAGAGGUGAGUGGAACUGCGAGUGUAGCGGUGAAAUGCGUAGAUAUCUGGAGGAACACCGGUGGCGAAGGCGGCACUCUGGGCCGAUACUGACACUGGAGGAGCGAAAGCGUGGGGAGCGAACAGG
rnacentral:rRNA from 1 species